GGAAGAGUGUCUGAGCGGUUUAAGGUGCUUCGUUGGAAACGAAGUGUGCUUCAUUGCACCGUAGGUUCGAAUCCUAUCUCUUCCGCCA
rnacentral:tRNA from 1 species